GUCACAGAACACUGUUUAACAGCCUCCAGGAAUCAGCUUAACACCGAAUUAACUACUUAUAAUCCAAUUUUGAUAACACAGAGGAGGCAGUGCUCCAUGUGACAUUUGCCAUGUUUGUUUGUCAACAGGCUGAUAUCCAGGGCCAGCUGAAAGGAGAGAGAGGAGAAAAGGUGAGCGCUUUUUCUGUGCAUGUAGACACUGAGAAUUUAUUUAUUUAUUAUUUUUUUUUUACAAAAUCAAGUAUGUUCGUUUGACCUGUUAAAAUAUCCUAAAUAAACACCAAUAGCUGAAAAAUGUAAGGUAACUGGGUAAAAAAAAGUAUAUAGCAGCAGAUUACAUCACUGUGAUUCCCAGGGUGAUGCUGGUGACCCAGGAGAGCAUGGCGGCAAAGGCACGAAAGGCGAGGCGGGGACUCCUGGAGCUCCAGGCCUACGAGGUCCUGAGGGACAACGGGGGCCUCCAGGGACAAGAGGCGACACAGGAGACAGAGG
ensembl:lncRNA